GACGGAGGGCGCGAGCGUUGUUCGGAAUUACUGGGCGUAAAGCGCGCGCAGGCGGGCGGACACGUCGGAAGUGAAAGUCCGGGGCUCAACCCCGGAACCGCUUCCGAUACGGUCUGCCUUGGGACCGGUAGAGGCCGGUGGAAUUCCCGGUGUAGCGGUGGAAUGCGUAGAUAUCGGGAAGAACACCAGUGGCGAAGGCGGCCGGCUGGGCCGGAUCCGACGCUGAGGCGCGAAAGCGUGGGGAGCAAACAGG
rnacentral:misc_RNA from 1 species